rnacentral:lncRNA from 13 species
GGAAAGGGCUUCAGCUGUAGUACUAGGGGAAGUAUUAGGAACUCCUUGAAUUUGUGACUUUGCUCACCUCUGGGAUCAGGACAUUUCAGGGAGUCAGACCUACCUCUUGCCUUGCCAAUCAAGAUUCCUCCCUGGGGCGGGGGCUAUGACUGGGGCUCAGGCUGCUGUGGAACACAUAGUCCUUGAUUCCUGAACAGAAUGGGGGUUCUAUUCAGCAAGAAAGAGCAUAGCAGCAUGUAAUGCAGAAGGGGAUGGCUGUGGGGUAGGCAGCCAGCAACAACUGCCAGCCCUAGCUCUCCCUGCUCAGGGAGGCAGGAGUUCUGUGAAGUCAGCACAGUUAGAAAACUUCUUUCCUGCUUAUUGUGAUGGCUUCGAUGAUGCAAUGACUAGCCAAGGUCCCACAGAAAAGGAGAAAGUGAGAGAGGGAGACAAUGGCGCCUCAGCCUCUGUGUUCUCAAAGUACGGUCUCUGAGCAUCUUGGCACCUUGAAAAUGCCAAUCCUUGAGCUCUACACUGACCUACAGAGCUGGCACAUCAGGAGUGAUUUGGGAAGAUGGAAAGUGCUGCCCUCAAAGCUGGCUCAUGGAGCUAAAAAGAAGUGACUCUGAAAAUGAGUGUUCUGUUGCCCAUGGAGCUGCCUGGAGGUGUCCUCACUGGAGGAGUCCUCAGCAAGGCCCUGAAUUGCCACCUGGAGAAGCUGCAUGUGCUGGGCCGAGAGAGGUGGCCUGGGACUCGCAGACUGUGGAAGAGCCAGAUCUGAAAUGUCUGUGUUGUGGGAGAGUCCCUCCACCUUUCUGGGGGCCAAAGCCCAGAGGAAGCGAAUCCUCCCAAUCCCCACCAUCAUCUGAUUCCAACAGAUGA